rnacentral:rRNA from 1 species
GGUUGACCUCGGAUCAGGUAGGGAUACCCGCUGAACUUAAGCAUAUCAAUAAGCGGAGGAAAAGAAACCAACAGGGAUUGCCCCAGUAACGGCGAGUGAAGCGGCAAGAGCUCAAAUUUGAAAGCUGGCUCCUUCGGGGUCCGCAUUGUAAUUUGCAGAGGAUGCUUCGGGAGCGGUCCCCAUCUAAGUGCCCUGGAACGGGACGUCAUAGAGGGUGAGAAUCCCGUAUGGGAUGGGGUGUCCGCGCCCAUGUGAAGCUCCUUCGACGAGUCGAGUUGUUUGGGAAUGCAGCUCUAAAUGGGUGGUAAAUUUCAUCUAAAGCUAAAUAUUGGCCGGAGACCGAUAGCGCACAAGUAGAGUGAUCGAAAGAUGAAAAGCACUUUGAAAAGAGAGUUAAAAAGCACGUGAAAUUGUUGAAAGGGAAGCGCUUGCGACCAGACUCGCUCGUGGGGUUCAGCCGGCAUUCGUGCCGGUGUACUUCCCCGCGAGCGGGCCAGCGUCGGUUUGGGCGGUCAGUCAAAGGCCCCUGGAAGGUAACGCCCCCUCGGGGGCGUCUUAUAGCCAGGGGUGCAAUGUGGCCUGCCCGGACCGAGGAACGCGCUUCGGCUCGGACGCUGGCAUAAUGGUCGUAAGCGACC